rnacentral:rRNA from 1 species
UACGUAGGGUGCAAGCGUUAAUCGGAAUUACUGGGCGUAAAGCGUUCGCAGGCGGUUGUGCAAGUCAGAUGUGAAAUCCCCGGGCUCAACCUGGGAACUGCAUUUGUGACUGCACGGCUAGAGUGCGGCAGAGGGAGAUGGAAUUCCGCGUGUAGCAGUGAAAUGCGUAGAUAUGCGGAGGAACACCGAUGGCGAAGGCAAUCUCCUGGGCCUGCACUGACGCUCAUGCACGAAAGCGUGGGGAGCAAACAGG